UACGUAGGGCGCAAGCGUUAUCCGGAAUUAUUGGGCGUAAAGAGCUCGUAGGCGGUUUGUCGCGUCUGCUGUGAAAGCCCGGGGCUCAACCCCGGGUCUGCAGUGGGUACGGGCAGACUAGAGUGAUGUAGGGGAGGCUGGAAUUCCUGGUGUAGCGGUGAAAUGCGCAGAUAUCAGGAGGAACACCGAUGGCGAAGGCAGGUCUCUGGGCAUUAACUGACGCUGAGGAGCGAAAGCAUGGGGAGCGAACAGG
rnacentral:rRNA from 1 species